rnacentral:rRNA from 1 species
AGCAGCCGCGGUAAUUCCAGCUCCAAUAGCGUAUAUUAAAGUUGUUGCAGUUAAAAAGCUCGUAGUUGAAUUUCGGAAUCAAUAUGUUGGUCGUGCCUUGGUACGUACUAAUUUAUUGGUUUCUUCCUUCUGACGAACCAUGAUGUCAUUAAUUUGGUGUCUUGGGGAAUCAGGACUGUUACUUUGAAAAAAAUUAGAGUGUUUAAAGCAGGCUCACGCUUGAAUACAUUAGCAUGGAAUAAUGAAAUAGGACGUUUGAUUCUAUUUUGUUGGUUUCUAGGAUCGACGUAAUGAUUAAUAGGGAUAGUUGGGGGCAUUAGUAUUCAAUUGUCAGAGGUGAAAUUCUUGGAUUUAUUGAAGACUAACUACUGCGAAAGCAUUUGCCAAGGAUG